rnacentral:rRNA from 1 species
AGUUUGAUCCUGGCUCAGGAUGAACGCUAGCUACAGGCUUAACACAUGCAAGUCGAGGGGCAGCAUUGGGGUAGCAAUACUUCAGAUGGCGACCGGCGCACGGGUGAGUAACACGUAUCCAACCUGCCGCUUACUCGGGGAUAGCCUUUCGAAAGAAAGAUUAAUACCCGAUGGUAUAAAGAGUUCGCAUGUUCUCUUUAUUAAAGAAUUUCGGUAAGCGAUGGGGAUGCGUUCCAUUAGAUAGUUGGCGGGGUAACGGCCCACCAAGUCUACGAUGGAUAGGGGUUCUGAGAGGAAGGUCCCCCACAUUGGAACUGAGACACGGUCCAAACUCCUACGGGAGGCAGCAGUGAGGAAUAUUGGUCAAUGGACGCGAGUCUGAACCAGCCAAGUAGCGUGAAGGAUGACUGCCCUAUGGGUUGUAAACUUCUUUUAUAAGGGAAUAAAGUGAGGGACGUGUCCCUUUUUGUAUGUACCUUAUGAAUAAGGAUCGGCUAACUCCGUGCCAGCAGCCGCGGUAAUACGGAGGAUCCAAGCGUUAUCCGGAUUUAUUGGGUUUAAAGGGAGCGUAGGUUGACAUAUAAGUCAGCUGUGAAAGUUUACGGCUCAACCGUGAAAUUGCAGUUGAUACUGUAUGUCUUGAGUGUACAAGAGGUGGGCGGAAUUCGUGGUGUAGCGGUGAAAUGCUUAGAUAUCACGAAGAACUCCAAUUGCGAAGGCAGCUCACUGGGGUACAACUGACACUGAGGCUCGAAAGUGUGGGUAUCAAACAGGAUUAGAUACCCUGGUAGUCCACACAGUAAACGAUGAAUACUCGCUGUUUGCGAUAUACAGUAAGCGGCCAAGCGAAAGCAUUAAGUAUUCCACCUGGGGAGUACGCCGGCAACGGUGAAACUCAAAGGAAUUGACGGGGGCCCGCACAAGCGGAGGAACAUGUGGUUUAAUUCGAUGAUACGCGAGGAACCUUACCCGGGCUUGAAUUGCAGAGGAACAUAGUUGAAAGACUAUGGCCGCAAGGUCUCUGUGAAGGUGCUGCAUGGUUGUCGUCAGCUCGUGCCGUGAGGUGUCGGCUUAAGUGCCAUAACGAGCGCAACCCUUAUCAUUAGUUACUAACAGGUCAUGCUGAGGACUCUAGUGAGACUGCCGUCGUAAGAUGUGAGGAAGGUGGA